UCAAACAUUUUUAUAUACUUCUUGUUUUUUGAUGAAUCAAAUUUAAAUAUAUAUUUUAAAUUAAAAGCAUCAAAAUUUAAUUCACAUUUACUUUAAAAUUUAAAAUUUAAUUUUGAUCCAAUAUAAUAAAAAAUUUAAUUAUUAAUUCAAAUUUGAUAUCGAAAAACAAGAAGUAUAUAGAAUUUAUAGAUGGAUAGGAAUACUAUUUUUUAAUAGAUUGAUCCUAACUAUUCUUAUUUGAGAUAUUUUUUUAACAAAUUAAUCAUAAUCAUUUGUAGGGAAUAGAUUUUUAUAUAUAAUAGAGAUUUAAUAAAUUGAUCAUAACCGUUCAUUUUUAUUUGAGAUAUUUUUUAAUAGAUUGGCCAUAACCGUUCGUUUUUAUUUGAAAUAUUUUUAACAAAUUAAUCAUAACCAUUCGUAGGAAAUAUUAAUUUAUUCAUUUUUGGAUUCCGUCUGUCAUUGUCGAAAUUUCUAUACGCUUUUAUAUAUAGUAUAGAUAUAGAGUUGUGCUGGUAUGCUUAUGGAAGCACGGAGGCUUUCGUGCUUCCAAGUCGUUUUUGAUGUUCGGGCUUUCGAAUCGACGAUCGGCUCCGUUACAGUUGAUCUAGAGUAUUUGAAGUACCAAGAAAAUAAAUUUUGCGAUUUUUCGAUAUCAUUUGCCUAGUAAUCGAAGGGGCUCAAAAUCAAUAAUUUUAACGGCCGUGGUGAGCCGAUUGCAAGUUUAACGGUGUAGAAAUAUCCAAAUCACAUGANGACCAUAACCGUUCGUUUUUAUUUGAGAUAUUUUUAACAAAUUAAUCAUAACCAUUCGUAAGGAAUAUUAAUUUAUUCCUUUUUGGAUUCCGUCUGUCAUUGUCGAAAUUUCUAUACGCUUUUAUAUAUAGUAUAGAUAUAGAUAUAGAGUUGUGCUGGUAUGCUUAUGGAAGCACGAAGGCCUCCGUGCUUCCAAGUUGUUUUCGAUGUUCGGACUUUCGAAUCGACGAUCGGCUCCGUUAGAGUUGAUCUAGAGUAUUUGAAGUACUAAGAAAAUAAAUUUUGCAAUUUUUCGAUAUCAU
rnacentral:lncRNA from 1 species